GAUGGUAUAGCUCAGUGGUAGAGUAUAUGAUUAGCAUGCAUGAGGUCCUGGAUUCAAUCUCCACUACCUCCA
rnacentral:tRNA from 1 species